UGCUAAAGCGAGAACCAUCCGUGAUCGUACACGUGGUUGUACAUGUGAGAAUGAGGAGGCACGGAAAGAAGUUCAAGCGACGUGCAUGAGCACUGCCACGUUGUUGUUCCCUUUUGCAGUGCUAGCCCACAGGAGCCAGGCGUCUGUCUCUCUCUCGGCUCCGUUGUUCAUAAAUCUACCUCAGACUCAGAGUGAUUUUCGAUCAUUUCUUUUAGGGUUUCAAUGCCCUUUCGAUUUUAGUGACCGGGAGUGCUUUCCUCUAAAGUUAUGAGUCUUAUGACUGAUUGGAGCUGAUCUAUCGGAGGAUUCUUAUAUUAGUUCUGGUCCUCGUAACUAUAAUUAAAUCCUCGAAUUGUAAGAAAGAUUCCGAAACUGUUUUCGUAUGGUUGCCAUUCCCAGUAAAGAUUGAUGAUUUAAGGGAGAUACAUGCAUCCGUACGAAGGAUUUCAGAUUCUAAGAGAUCUGAUUCAUUUAUUGAACCGCUGAUAAGCCAAAUCGGGAACUAAUAUCGGGGGAUUAGCUCUUAAUACGAUUUUUCUGAGUUAAGAGUUUGGAAGGAGGAUCCAAUCAGUUGUUGUAAUUAAGAUUGUUUUGUCGUUGACGAAAACGAAGUUCUGGUAUUUGACGAACACGAAGUUCUGGUCGUUUAUUUUAGAUGUUAUACAACGCUAGAUUAAGGAACAUAAUCGUUCGAGUUGGGUUUAUUAGGACUUUUUCCAAGGGGAGAGUGCAGUUGACGAAGGAUCUUCGGGGGGCUUUGGAUGGCAGAUUGGGAUUAGCAGAUCUUUCCAAACGCAAAUUCAAAGGAAUUGUAAAGAUGAUGGUUGACACAGGUGAAUCUGCUAAAGCAGGAGUUAUUGUUGAUGUCCUUCCGGAGAAA